UUAUCUGAAUUAUGGAAAACAACAGAAGAGAGUUUGGAUUUUUACAGCUUGGGGUAAUGUAUUUCAUCUGCUGAAUAUUAACUGAGUCAUAUUAGCUUGUUCUAUUUUCCUACUUUGUCAAGAAACUCAGUCUCACAAGAACAACCUAUAGGAGAGCCUUUCGGAGGACUCCAGAAUGGAAGCAUACCACAAGAGUAUUUUUCUGCAGCAGAUCUCUUCAAGCGGCCCAGAGCAUGAAGAAUCUUGGCCAUCCAGCACGUCAAAGCUUCUUCUGAGCAAAUGAGUUUCCAGAGACUCAACGAGACCUUAUUUUAUUAGUUAGAAGCUACCAAAUUUAAAAUUACUAAAGCUGAUUAAGUUGCAGGAGGCAACUUAGCAGAAUCGAUCCUCAUGAUGGAAACAGAGAGAGAAAGCAACAAGAAGCAGUUCACAUCUAGUGGAUGAAUCCACCUGGUUAAAUUAUAAAUCCCAACAGCAUGGAUCUACAAAGCCAAUUACAGAUGAAUUAUUUCUUGAAUAUCAAAGGAACUAAGAAAUAUUAACUUGAUAAUAAUAAUUCAUGUACUCACCUGACUCUUGCAAGUAUCUAUAUACCAGGAAGUUAACCUCAUCACUGCUUAUACUCAUCUUUAUUCCCACUUAAACCAUGAGGUCACGACAAAGGAUAUAACCCUAAAAAUAAAGUAAAGAACCGUAAAUUAGAUAGGUAAUUUUAAACAACCAAUGCCAGUUUCUCAACAAAUGGUAUACAAAAACAAGACACUUCUUCACAAUGUUGAAAAUGUGGAUUUUAUUUCACAAUGUAAAAUCUGUCUGAAUUUCCACCUUUAAAAUGCCAUUUAUCUCACACCACUGUAAAAGAUCACUCUUUUAAAAAUCAAGCCAGAUACACAACUGAUGUAAAUUGACAUAAUUGGAUGGCACUAUUUCAAUUAACAGAAGAAAGGACUGGCCUCAUUUAAAAAAACAACCACCAAAAAACAACAACAUGAUAUAGGUAAUGUAGUUUGUAGCAAAUCACAUUAUUAAACUAGAAUUUAGCUUUCACUAUUUAAACUUCUUUCCACUUGGUCAAUGACACUAGAAUACUUGUUUUAAACACUUUUAUUUUCUAAUCAAUUUUAUUUUCAGGUUCUCAAGCAACAGCACAAUGCUGCAAUGUAUAGACUGCAAGGAUAUAUUUGUUUAGGAAAAAACAUACUUCCGUUAAAAUAAAACCAUGGUAAUACUAUGGCCUUUGUAAAACCAUUAUAUUUUUAAACAGAAUAUAAAUUUGGGGCCAAUUUUGACUUAACAGCAUUCCUUUUAAUAAAGGCUUUAUCUGCUUUUAA